rnacentral:rRNA from 1 species
GACGAACGCUGGCGGCGUGCUUAACACAUGCAAGUCGAACGGAAAGGCCUUUUCGGAGGUACUCGAGUGGCGAACGGGUGAGUAACACGUGGGUGAUCUGCCCUGCACUCUGGGAUAAGCCUGGGAAACUGGGUCUAAUACCGGAUAGGACCGCACUUUAGUGUGUGUGGUGGAAAGUUUUUUCGGUGUAGGAUGAGCCCGCGGCCUAUCAGCUUGUUGGUAGGGUAAUGGCCUACCAAGGCGGCGACGGGUAGCCGGACUGAGAGGUUGGUCGGCCACAUUGGGACUGAGAUACGGCCCAGACUCCUACGGGAGGCAGCAGUGGGGAAUAUUGCACAAUGGGCGCAAGCCUGAUGCAGCGACGCCGCGUGGGGGAUGACGGCCUUCGGGUUGUAAACUCCUUUCGCCAGGGACGAAGCGUUUUGUGACGGUACCUGGAGAAGAAGCACCGGCUAACUACGUG